UAACAGUUCAUUCACAGGAGGCUGAGGUGGAGCGAGAGAAAGCCAGGCUGUUGCAAAGUGCCAUCUCUGCUUGUAUUCUCACGCUAACUGCUUUGGCGGAUUAUUGGAUAAGAGCAGAGGAAAUCUCGGACUUUUCUCCAGUGCUAAUCACUGACCAUCAACUCUGUGCAGCAUCCAUGACUUUACAUACUUGGCUGGUCUAUAAGGUUGGAUUUAUCUUGGUUUGGACAUUCUGCUUGACACAGGUUCAGGGGCUGCAGUGCUAUGGCUGCAACAUCAUCCAAGGCCAAAGGUAUGUGGACGUGGGCUGCUCCAACCCAGAAGUCAUCACAUGCACCCACUCACACAAGGGUUUCAAACACCGUUUCUGCAUCAAGACAGAGAGCACAGCCUUGGGUAUCAUCCUGACCAGUGGUUGUGCCACAUCCAGGCACUGCCAGCAACAAGAACUGCCAGGGGUGCGCAUCCACUGCUGCGAUUCAGAUCUGUGCAACAGUGCCGCCACCUGGCAUCCGAGCUCUCUGCAUUACAUCUGUGCACUGGGAGGCCUUUUGCUGCUGAUCCUGUGGC